UACGGAGGGGGCUAGCGUUGUUCGGAAUUACUGGGCGUAAAGCGCACGUAGGCGGCUUUGUAAGUUAGAGGUGAAAGCCCGGGGCUCAACUCCGGAAUUGCCUUUAAGACUGCAUCGCUAGAAUUGUGGAGAGGUAAGUGGAAUUCCGAGUGUAGAGGUGAAAUUCGUAGAUAUUCGGAAGAACACCAGUGGCGAAGGCGACUUACUGGACACAUAUUGACGCUGAGGUGCGAAAGCAUGGGGAGCAAACAGG
rnacentral:rRNA from 1 species